AAAAGAAAAGUUACCUAUAAGUGUAAUGGUGUAAUGUUAUACGUUAUUUAUUAUAACCUAACCGAAUAUAAUUUUGAAAAAAAAAAAAUGUAUAAAAUUAAGUUAGUUUUACGUUUAAGUUCAUUAAAAAUACGAAUAAUUGUAAUUAAUGUUUUACACAAUAAACAACAAAUUUAUAGUAUUAUAGUUUUCGAUAUUAAAAUGUAUUGAAAUCCGUUUGACUAAACUCGGCUUAGAAUUGUUUUCCAUUGACAUAAUGUUAUUAAUAGUCAAUAAGACGUAGAGAC